rnacentral:rRNA from 1 species
UUUCAGCAGUGAGGAAGGUGGGUAUGUUAAUAGCAUACUCAUUUGACGUUAGCUGCAGAAGAAGCACCGGCUAACUCCGUGCCAGCAGCCGCGGUAAUACGGAGGGUGCGAGCGUUAAUCGGAAUUACUGGGCGUAAAGCGCAUGCAGGUGGUUUGUUAAGUCAGAUGUGAAAGCCCGGGGCUCAACCUCGGAAUUGCAUUUGAAACUGGCAAACUAGAGUACUGUAGAGGGGGUAGAAUUUCAGGUGUAGCGGUGAAAUGCGUAGAGAUCUGAAGGAAUACCGGUGGCGAAGGCGGCCCCCUGGACAGAUACUGACACUCAGAUGCGAAAGCGUGGGGAGCAAACAGGAUUAGAACCCUGGUAG